CAUAUAACCUUAGUUUUGUUCCAUUCUCAACCAAAACUGCCUGACGAAUGGGAACGUGAAACUCUGAGUAACAUUUGUGAUGUAUUUGCAGCUUUAUUAAUAAAGUGUAUAUAUAUA